rnacentral:rRNA from 1 species
CGGCAGCAUUUUCUAGCUUGCUAGAAAGAUGGCGAGUGGCGGACGGGUGAGCAACGCGUAGGAAUAUGCCUUAAAGUGGGGGACAACUUGGGGAAACUUAAGCUAAUACCGCAUAAUCUCUUCGGAGAAAAGCUAGGGACCUUCGGGCCUGGCGCUUUGAGAUUAGCCUGCGUCCGAUUAGCUAGUUGGUAGGGUAAAGGCCUACCAAGGCGACGAUCGGUAGCUGGUCUGAGAGGAUGGCCAGCCACACUGGAACUGAGACACGGUCCAGACUCCUACGGGAGGCAGCAGUGGGGAAUAUUGGACAAUGGGGGCAACCCUGAUCCAGCAAUACCGCGUGUGUGAAGAAGGCCUGAGGGUUGUAAAGCACUUUCAGUGGGGAGGAGGAUGCUUCGGUUAAGAGCUAGAGUAUUGGACGUUACCCACAGAAGAAGCACCGGCUAACUCCGUGCCAGCAGCCGCGGUAAUACGGAGGGUGCGAGCGUUAAUCGGAAUUACUGGGCGUAAAGGGUGCGUAGGUGGUUUAAUUAAGUUAUCUGU